rnacentral:rRNA from 1 species
UACGUAGGGCGCAAGCGUUGUCCGGAAUUAUUGGGCGUAAAGAGCUCGUAGGUGGUUUGUUACGUCUGCUGUGAAAACCUAGGGCUUAACCCUGGGCCUGCAGUGGAUACGGGCAGACUAGAGGUAGGUAGGGGAGAAUGGAAUUCCUGGUGUAGCGGUGAAAUGACGCAGAUAUCAGGAGGAACACCGGUGGCGAAGGCGGGUCUCUGGGCCGUAACUGACGCUGAGGAGCGAAAGCAUGGGGAGCGAACAGGG